rnacentral:rRNA from 1 species
GUGCCAGCAGCCGCGGUAAUACGGAAGGUGCAAGCGUUAAUCGGAAUCACUGGGCGUAAAGCGCUCGUAGGUUGCUUUGUAAGUCAGGUGUGAAAUCCCACGGCUCAACCGUGGAAUUGCACUUGAUACUGCAUUGCUUGAGUUCGGGAGAGGGUAGUGGAAUUCCAGGUGUAGGAGUGAAAUCCGUAGAGAUCUGGAGGAACACCGGUGGCGAAGGCGACUACCUGGACCGAUACUGACACUGAGGAGC